rnacentral:rRNA from 1 species
GGCCUGGUAUAGAAAGUAAGACCUGCUCACUGAAGAUUUAAAGAGCCGCAGUAUUUUGACUGUGCAAAGGUAGCAUCAUCAUUAGCUUUUUAAUUGAAGGCUGGUAUGAAAGGUUAAACGAAAUUUUUAUUGUCUCUUAUUGAUUUCUUUAAUUUUAUUUUAUAGUGAAAAAGCUAUAAUGAGGAAAUAGGACGAGAAGACCCCAUAGAGUUUUAUGAUUACGUGCAGAUUAGGAAUUAAAUAUAGGGAUCAUUUGAUUGGGGUGAUAAUGAAAUAACUAAACUUUUAUAAAUAAAACAAUUAUAGUUGAAUGGAAGAUCUUAAGGAGCAUUAAGAGAAAAUUACCUUGGGGAUAACAGCGUAAUUAUUUUGGAGAGUUCAAAUUGAUGAAAUAGUUUGCGACCUCGAUGUUGGAUUAGAAAAGUACUUAAAGCAGAAAUUAAGUUGUUAAGUCUGUUCGACUAAUAAGUUUCUA